UGCCAGCCGCCGCGGUAAUACGGAGGGUGCAAGCGUUAUCCGGAUUUACUGGGUUUAAAGGGUGCGUAGGCGGCUUGAUCAGUCAGUGGUGAAAGCCCAGAGCUCAACUUUGGAAUUGCCAUUGAUACUGUCAAGCUUGAGUAUGGUUGAAGUAGGCGGAAUGUAGCAUGUAGCGGUGAAAUGCUUAGAUAUGCUACAGAACACCGAUUGCGAAGGCAGCUUACUAAACCAUUACUGACGCUGAGGCACGAAAGCGUGGGGAGCGAACAGGAUUAGAUA
rnacentral:rRNA from 1 species